rnacentral:lncRNA from 9 species
AGAUAAGAGAAAGAAUGGUUAGGUGUUUAGUUAUAAUUAACUCUGAUAAAUGAGGUUCACUAGAAAAAAAUAAGUAGCUUCUAUAAUUGUUAGGUACCAGUGUUAGUUGGUGUUCAUGACUCUAGGCCAUACACAAAGUGUCUUUAUCAAAGUAAUGAAAGAAUUUCUUCUGUAAUUGCUAAUAAUUGUCAUAUUUAUUCAAUCCUUAAUAUGUGCCAGCCCCUUUGCUAUUCAGCUUACAGGUUUUAUUUAAUCAUUACAAAUCCAUAAGUUAGGUUCCAUGGUUAUGUUCAUUUUACAGACAAGGAACCUGAAGCACAGAGAGCCUGACUUAUUUUCUUAAGUUUUACACUUGCAAGUGAAUAACUCUUAAUUGGAAAUCAGUAAAACUGUUGCUAAAAUCCUCCUCCUUAGUCACAGUACCAGUCUGUAGUACACUGAAAUAAAAGGAGGGUAAAGAAGGAAAUAACUACUCAGAAAUAAAUCAAUCAAUGAAAUUAUGAGGAUUGCAUUAACUGUACAUUUUUGAGGAUGAAUUAAUCCAGUUUGAAAGUUUUGCUAAAUAUGAAAUUAUGUAGAAGCAGUGUUCUGCAUUUUUCCUAUAAUGUUCCAUCUCUCAGUGUAGGAAAAAGUAAAGCACAAUAUAGUCUAUGAACUACAUAUGUAAAUAGUGUAAAAUUCACACGCACACAAGAAAACAAGUAUAAAUGUUCACUACAUACUUGUAAAAUGACUUUGAAAGUUCAGGCAUUUCAUUACUAGUUUUCCGAGAAAUACUAAACAAGAGAAGAGAAUUAUCAAUUUUUAUGUCUGAGAGAGGCAUUUACUUCUUCCUUUAAUUAUAAUAAUUUCUCCGUAUGUAAGUAUUAAACUCUGCAAUUUAAUGGUUCAUAGUAGAAUUUUAAUAUUGCUUUGUAGAUCAUCAUGUUUCUCAGUAGUACAUCAAAUUAGUAGCUAGCUAUAAGCAUUGGCUAUGGUAUCUCAUUCAACAUUAUUGCUUUAAAUUCUAUCGAAAAUUGAAUGACUCCACAGUUAUAACCUGAAUCCAGAAAUUUAACUAGAAGUUCAUAUGCAUUGUAUAUAAAUAUCCUUUAUCCACCCUUAUGUUCUACCAGCUUCAUGUAGUUUCAUGAAUCCUCUUUUGCUCCUGCUGGUGUGUGUUGACAAGAUGCUGCAGGUAUUUUGAGUAGUUUAUUUAUUUCUUAAUGGGGCUGAGCAUGUCCACAAUAAGGUAUGUUGUUACUUAACCCUAGUCACUGGACUGGUAAGUAGGGAACAUGUGAGCAUCCACUGGGUGAAGGCUUACUUUGUCCUACCAAAGGAAAGCCUUUGUAUUGUCUUCAGGUAAUGUGGCCCUUAAUAUGUAAUUGUGUGUGUGGUCCACUUCUUCAGGCCCAGAGGGCUCCAAGUAAUUGAAGGACUGAAGAUUUUCAGAGGCAUAAAUCCAGAAAUCCUCAUUCCGUGUAUGAAGGUCCUAUUCCUUCCCAACCAAUACCCUGACCCAGCUGUAGCAGACCUACCUCAAUUGAGAGUUCAAGCUCUUGGAAAUCUGCCACUCUUAUAGGUUAGGAGCCUGGUAUGCAUAUUUCUCUCUGCCCACAGCUGCAGUAGACAAGAUCUUCUUUAAAUGCUACUAAGGAGGCCUUCUGGCUUUCACAUUUAGCUCUUAGUUGCUGGGUAAUCAUGCACAGUUUUUUCUUAUCUUUUUUUCAUAUGCAUUAUUUACAUUCAGCAAUAACCAUGUAAUGCCACUAGAGUAGUGGUUAUAGGUACACAAUCUCUCCCAUGUUUUUUAAAAAACUGAACACAUUGUACCUAAUAGCACAUUCCCCUCCACUGGAAUUCCAUCUUACUUUAACACAGCUAAAACCCUUACAGUUGCACUUCUUCCUUGUGUCAGGUACCGUCUGUGUUCUAUCAGUGAUGAUGGGGUCCUCACUGCCAGUGAGUUGGCAGGUGAACCAAGUCCAAAAUCCCAUUUAGCAUCAGAUUUCUCAUCCCUCUGCAGGAUGCAUUAGGCUUGGACAGAGAGAGAAGUUGGAGUAAGUUACAGUUCCAAACAAGGGCCAAGGACCCUGCCUGGCGCGCAGGAGCUGAGAAAGCCCAUUAGAAUGACCUAUUUUCAGAACAGAAGCUGAUAUCCAUAGUCUUACCUCCAACUGUCAGUAAGUAUGGGCUUCCCAGGAGGAAGAAGUGACAGUUGAUAAAAUGCCUCUUUUCAGAGGAGGCAUUUCCCAGUGAGAGCUGAUGCUAGGGAUACUCACAGGUCAUGAGGAAAUAAACUCUGUCUUGAUGCUAGAUGCAGUGGUGUGUCAAAUAAUCCACUUCAGAGAGAGUUAAGGGAAGUGUCUUAGAGCUUACCUCCAGUGCUCUUGUAUGCAGAAGUAAGAGAAAAUAUUCUAUGUUCAAUGUCAGCACCUUAGUUUCAGAGAUAACGAAGCAGUGCCUAAUUGUAUAUGUACUCCAGCAAGUUAGGUAUGGUUCAAGAUCUCAACAGAGGGACUUGGAGUGAAGAUGUAGAUUUUAGAUUUAUAAAUGAAAUAGUUGUCAUUGUGGUUAUUCUCAGUGAGGAAUAAUCUACAGACUAACAAUAGUAUUGUGGUGAAUACUAAUAUUUAAUCACAGAGAAAGAAGGGCAUGGAAACCCAAGUGUGAGGUCGCAAGACAGAGAAGAAAAAACCAGGAUUCCCAUUCCUGGGUUUACUCAAAUUCCAGACGUUAGAUGUUGAAAUAAAAGUUAUAAUUCAUUUUACUCAGUAGAAAUGUAAUGAAAUUUUAUGUGUUGAAAUUAGAAUAAAUGAAUUAUAAAAAGAUAUAUAUGUUAAUUAUGUUAAUUAACUUGAAUCAAAAGUUCUUAAGUAGGGUAUUUCAAAAAAUCUUAAGCAUUUUAUUUUUUAUAAAUUUCUAUAACUGACUCCUUCAUCCAUUGAUUUAUGAGAAUAGUGCCUGUGUAUUUUUAAAAGUUGGUACUUUUAUUACAUAUAUAUUUUAAGCCGAAAAAGAAUUCCAAAUGAUCCAAUAUAUAGAUUGAUAAAUGAAGGUAGUUGAACAAAAUAAAUGUAUCUAAAACCUUUUGUAGUUUUAAGGAUUAUAAGUUUUAGUUAUAAGGAUGCCUUGAAUAAGAUGUUCAUUUCUAUUAAUGUAUUUUCUUUUUGGUAUCACAGUGAUAUGAAAUAACUAAGCCAAUAGGGACUAAUAAAACCAUUAAACCAGUAAACCUAAAAAGCAAAUAGAAAUACAAUUACUUCUGUCAUAAACUCACAUCACUCCCUAGAUGAUACUGUUAAAUUCUGGCUUAAAUACAUUAACCUUAUAUGCACAAUUUCUCAUGAUGACCUAAAAGGCAAGAAAACAUGAACAGACACUUUCAUUUAUUUAACAUCUUAAAUUGAAAUCCAGUGCACAGACUAUACACAUCAUUAAAGUAGGAACGACAGUGGCUUUUGAGGUCGGGUAUUAUUAUUAUUAUUUUUUUGAAUCCCUGUUUGGUUUAUUUGAAUUUUUUUUUUCUCUGUGAAACUGAGUAGAGCUGAGAAGGAAUCAAAGAAAACCUCAUAUAUUAAAUUCUUAUAUAGAUAUUUUGAAUUCAAAAGUAAGGGUCAACAGGAGAGGAACAGGUGGCAGGCCCUGUCCCAGAAAACAAAGCCACUGAGGCAAUCCUGCAAAUUAAGAGGAUGGCAAAUCCAUCCCUUAAAAGAAAGUUGGGGGGGGGCGGAAUAUAAAAUACCCAAGUUUCAAAAGCCAGACUACUUCCACACUCUUGGUUCUCUACUCCAGACUGUCCUAAGAUAGAGUGUUUCAAGUUUUCAAGGUAAGUUUUUGAGGAUUUGGUUUUUGCAAACAUAUGCAAAUAUGAUCUUCAUGGGCAGUCCUGUUUUGGCCAUUAAUAGAAAGCAAUAUGCUUGGAUUAGAGGUCUGAUUUCCACUCCAAUGCAAAGUUUCUUCUUUCCUGGCAACAAAGCCAUUUGUAGAGAUCUGGAAAUCAUGCACUUCUUAGGUGGGAGGAGGUACCAUUCUGGUUCACCUGAAAAUAUCCUUUCAGAUUGGCUGGUGUUUUACAGUCCCCUUUCAAGACCUUGUGUGUGUUGUUGACAACGAUGGGGUCAAGGUUGCUGUAGUUGGGUGGGUUUGCAUAGGGGUCAUAGCCUAGCCGAGCCAGCAUGGGGGUGAUCUGGGCCAUGUCUCACAUCAUGUCCGCAGGGAUGUGGCCAGUCUUCUUGAUGAGAGCUUCCAGGUUCACAGGCUUGAUGACCUGGACUGUGGAUUGCUCAAUCUUGAACAGGGAGACACCUCCGGGCUUGCCAAUGAGGUCCUCGUAGUGCAGGACAGCAUCACUCCAGGUGAUGCCAAGGAAGUUGAGGAUGAGCUUGAGGGAGCAACGGGGGUGCAGCACCAGCUGCUAGUAGUACACCGGCAGACACUUGUCCUUGCCCACCUCCACACACUGUGCCUACAUCACCUCAAUGGCCUUGUUCCACUUGGUGGGGCAGUUGUGGUAGCUGCUGAGGUCAAAGCCAGCAAUGGUGACCUUGCGGGUGAUCAUGGAGUGCACCAAGGCCCAGCCAUCUCACACCAUCAGCAGGGACUUAGAGUUGGGGAACAGGCGUGACAGGCAGACAGAGGACUUGAGGGUGAAUGGGUCUUUGUUGCAGAGGAUGCCGGCCGGCUGGCCAUGCUUGGCGAUCACCUCCAGGAUGAAGGCCUGCAUGGUGGCCUCCAGCACUUGGUCCGUGACGCUGGCUUCAUCCAGCCGCAGCUUCUCCCCACGGGACUUGGACCAGGCCUGACGCAUGGCCCGGGGGAUGAUGCGGGUCUCCUCACCGCAGUGCACUUCCAGCUUCACAGCAGCGUAUGGAAGAUUGGACUAGGGAGUCUAAUCAGAGCUGCAGCUGCCAGUCUCCACCACAGCAGAGGCAACACUGGACCCGAAGCCGCCUCUGCAAACUGUUUCAUGGCUCGUGGCAAUGCCAGAUCCUCAAUCCACUGAGCAAGGCCAGUGAUCAAACCUGCAUCCUCAUGGACACUAUGUCAUGUUCUUAACCCACGGAGCCGCAAUGGAAUCCACACACCUUCCUUUUUUGUUAAACUUUGGUACUCAAGUUCAUGUACAAGUUUGUGCUCUUAUGCAUUAGCCCCAUCCCCACCCAUAUACAAAGUUAAUUGCACCACAGGUGGUACAUUACUGUAAACACUCAAGUCAUUGACAAUCAGAUUCUUAAACUUUUGAUAAUUUAAACUAAAAGAUGGAAUCUGCAGUUACAUACACUUAAAUUAAAAGGUCUGUUAAAGUUAGGUUUAGAGCAGUGCAAAUAGUAAAGUGAGAGCAAGGCAAACACUUCAGAGAGAAUGAUGAUAGAGGGAAAUAAGAUGACAGGCCCCAAAGCCCCUUGUUGCUUGAGAAUGGUCUUGAUUCCUGGUAUUCUGAUGUUCAGUUUAGUUCCUUUUGAUCCUUACUCUUUUUUUUCCUUUUCUUGCUUGGAUUUUAUUUAAACAAAUAUUCAUUUACAUAAAUACCC